GAAGAAAGCUGGCGGCGUGCCUAAUACAUGCAAGUUGAGCGCUGAAGGUUGGUACUUGUACCAACUGGAUGAGCAGCGAACGGGUGAGUAACGCGUGGGGAAUCUGCCUUUGAGCGGGGGACAACAUUUGGAAACGAAUGCUAAUACCGCAUAAAAACUUUAAACACAAGUUUUAAGUUUGAAAGAUGCAAUUGCAUCACUCAAAGAUGAUCCCGCGUUGUAUUAGCUAGUUGGUGAGGUAAAGGCUCGCCAAGGCGAUGAUACAUAGCCGACCUGAGAGGGUGAUCGGCCACAUUGGGACUGAGACACGGCCCAAACUCCUACGGGAGGCAGCAGUAGGGAAUCUUCGGCAAUGGACGAAAGUCUGACCGAGCAACGCCGCGUGAGUGAAGAAGGUUUUCGGAUCGUAAAACUCUGUUGGUAGAGAAGAACGUUGGUGAGAGUGGAAAGCUCAUCAAGUGACGGUAACUACCCAGAAAGGGACGGCUAACUACGUG
rnacentral:rRNA from 1 species